CCCUUAGAUGUUCUGGGCGGCCCGCGCACUACAAUGGCGUGUGCAGCGAGUGCCGAAGUAGAGUUUUCCGAGGUAUUCUUGCAAUGCUCGUUUUGAUGGGGAUAGACCCUUGCAACUGUUGGUUUUGAACGAGGAAUUCCUUGUAAGCAUGGUUUAUCAUCCGACGCUGAAUGCGUCCCUGCCCUUUGUACACACCGCCCGUCGCUCCUACCGAUUGAGUGCUCAGGUGAAUAAUUCGGACUGCAGCAAUGUUCGGAUCCCGAACGUUGCAGCGGAAAGUUUAGUGAACCUUAUCACUUAGAGGAAGGAGAAGUCGUAACA
rnacentral:rRNA from 1 species